GGCUCGGGCAGCUUCCCAGCAGCUGUGCUGGGCGCACAGGACGGCACUCCAUACCCCAAAACAGGCGCUAGGAAGGAGCAAUUAAAACCACAAGUGCGACAGAGAGAUCGAGACGAGCCUAACGCCUUCCAGGAGUCGUCUAGUGGCAGAGUCAAGUACCUGGUUGUUGCUACAAAGCUUCACCGUGUGGUUCGCACCCCAGAAGAUAGAAGGCGCCGCGACAGCUCUGUCCUGCACCAGCCCUCCCCCCAGGCCUGGCGGAGCCAGCUUCGGCCACUGGAGCCUCGAGCUGGAGUGGCCAACCCGGCCUAGAGCGAUGCAAGCGGGGCCCUGGGAGCGGCAGCGGCGGCGGCGGCGGCGGCGGCGCGGCGGCCGAAGGAGCCCCGGCCGGGAAGUACCGACGCGUCUCUCCCGAGGCCGGGCCGCCUCGUCCGCUCUAGUCCAGCGGAGCCAAAGCGACUCGGACCAAUCCCCGGUGAUUAUGCAAGACGGCGGACC
rnacentral:lncRNA from 1 species